rnacentral:rRNA from 1 species
CGGUGAAUACGUUCCCGGACCUUGCACACACCGCCCGUCAAGCUAUGGAAGCUGGGUGUACCUAAAGUCGGUAACCGUAAGGAGCCGCCUAGGGUAAAACUAGUGACUGGGGCU